rnacentral:ncRNA from 2 species
UAGAAAAGAAUGAGUAAAGCGGGACUACAAAACCCGGUACUGACCCUUCGACGCUGCUCAGGACAGGCUAAACAGGAAUCGUAUACAGAGGCAUUUAUGUACGGGUAAGCAACCACAUCAUUGUAAAGCCCAAAGAAUACCCAAAGUGCAUUUAUGUAGAUACGGCAGGGAUCGGGGGAAAGAAGAUGUU